UACAGAGGUCUCAAGCGUUGUUCGGAUUCAUUGGGCGUAAAGGGUGUGUAGGUGGCGCCGUAAGUCGGGUGUGAAAUUUCGGAGCUUAACUCCGAAACUGCAUUCGAUACUGCGGUGCUUGAGGACUGGAGAGGAGACUGGAAUUUACGGUGUAGCAGUGAAAUGCGUAGAUAUCGUAAGGAGGACCAGUGGCGAAGGCGGGUCUCUGGACAGUUCCUGACACUGAGACACGAAGGCCAGGGGAGCAAACGGG
rnacentral:rRNA from 1 species